GGGCGUGUAGCUCAAUUGGUUAGAGCCGUCCGCUCAUAACGGACUGGUUUCCGGUUCAAGUCCGGACGCGCCUA
rnacentral:tRNA from 1 species